ensembl:lncRNA
AAGAUGCAAUGUAGGCAUCUUCUGGUUUCUCAAACUUCCAUUGUAUUAGAAUCACUUGGGGCACUUGGUAAAAAUAACGUCUUGGGUCCUUCAAUGAACCUGUCUCUUUAUCAGCUUUCAGGUGAUUCCCACACACACACCAGAGUUUGAUAACUGCUGCUUUAGAAGAUGGCUAAAAAUAGCUUAGGCUUAAGUAGUCUCAGGCUAACUCAUACACUGUUAACCCCCCACCCUGCCAGGGGCAGGCCCAAUCUGCCAACCGCAGGACAGAUUCUUCCAGACUUCUGUAAGAGGUAGCAGAGUCUUUAGCUUUUCAGAAGAAGGCUUAGUGAUCCAAAUAAGUCCCUGGCGGUGGUCAGGAGAGCUCAGUUUUAAUCUUGUGGUCGAAAAACUAAUCUUAGACCAGUCCUCUACCCUUCGUAUUGGUAUUGCUCACUGUCUGCAUUACUAUGGAAAAUUACGCAUUGUUUGUAUGGAUACUGCAGGAAGAACGAGGGCGCUGCAGCCAUAGGCCAGCACUAGGCAACAGCCCUGCAGCCCAGUGAGUCCAGUGAGGGCAUGGGGCAUGACUGGAGACUGAGGCAUCGGAGGAGGAGGAGCAGUGAGCAUGGCCUGGGAAGGAGCUGGCAGCAAGCAGGAAUGCAACUUUAUCUGGUACCUUCGGAAGGUGGCGUCUGUUUUAAGAAAAAUCACCCCUGGAGAAAUAAGUGUUGACUGACCGCUGUCACAAGGAGAGGGUCAUAAAUUGUCAGCAGGCCCCCCUGGCCAGAAGAUGAUGUAACACCCCUAAGACCUCUGUAUACAUUUGUAUGAAGCACCUGACUUUGAUAAAAGUUAGGACUGCUGACCCCGCGUGACUUUUGUAUAACAUCUCAGUGUAUAAAAACAGACUCUGGAAAAUAAAGAAUUGGGAUCAGUUCCUCGAAAUACUGGUCUCCCCAUGUCGUUCUCUCUCUCUCAAACUCUGGCUGAGUCUCCAUCUGGAGCGCGGAGCCCGCCGUGCUUACUAAUUAUGCCUGGGCUUCUAAGAUCCGACCGGGGAGGCCUCAGUGUCUCCUCUCCUUUGGGAGAACGGAAGGAUGUCUGCGGCCUAUGUAAGUGGUGCAAGCUUCUUGUCUUGAAGUUUUAUUGGUUUCCCACAUAAACCAAGCUACUCAGCCUCUUUUCUCCACUGAAUUUUCCUGCUGAGCUAUCCUCAUUCUUUUACUCUUUAUAUCUCUAAUUAAUAUUUAAAUAAGUUGCUGAUGCCGUCCCUGGUUCGAAUACACUGGAUCAACUGGGGCUGGACCCUGGCAUAUUUCCUCUCUGCUCCACAAUGCUCUUUGUCAUUUCCCUCUCUGUUGCUUACUUCUCACUACCUGCAUCAGCCUCAUUACUAUUCCUCACUCAUUUCAAGCAGAGUAAAUAUUCAAGGCCUUUGUGCUUGUGCUUGUCUCUGUCUUUGUUCUGUGCGUGGGCCAGGCUGUGUGUUAGGUUGUUAGAUUAGGCCUUCUGAGAUUCCCAAACUCCCCACAGACCCACCUGUGAGAGGGGUUCCUACUGUGUGGAAACUUUUUUCUCCUUCAUGACUCCCUCCUCAGGACAGGUCUGUGUCCCUAACUCUUUUGACUCUCUUUUUGCCUUUUAUAAGCUAGCUGGCUACCUACCAGCCCCUACCUGUCUUU